rnacentral:rRNA from 1 species
GUGGGGAAUAUUGGACAAUGGGCGCAAGCCUGAUCCAGCCAUGCCGCGUGAGUGAUGAAGGCCUUAGGGUUGUAAAGCUCUUUCAGUGGGGACGAUAAUGACGGUACCCACAGAAGAAGCCCCGGCUAACUUCGUGCCAGCAGCCGCGGUAAUACGAAGGGGGCUAGCGUUGUUCGGAUUUACUGGGCGUAAAGCGCACGUAGGCGGUUUGUUAAGUCAGGGGUGAAAUCCCGGAGCUCAACUCCGGAACUGCCUUUGAUACUGGCAAGCUAGAGGCCGGAAGAGGUAAGUGGAACUCCUAGUGUAGAGGUGGAACUCGUAGAUAUUAGGAAGAACACCAGUGGCGAAGGCGGCUUACUGGUCCGGAACUGACGCUGAGGUGCGAAAGCGUGGGGAGCAAACAGGAUUAGAUACCCGUGUAGUCC